ensembl:lncRNA novel transcript
CUGAGAUCUGAUGGUUUUAUAGGGGGCCUUUUCCCUCUUCAUUCUGCACUUCUCUCUCCUGCUGCCAUGUGAAGGACGUGUUUGCUUCCCCUUCCACCAUGAUUGUAAAAUACCUGUUUUCUGACAAGACUAGGACUCUUACAUAGACUGCCAUGAACUACAAGAAGUAUAGCAUUGCUCAAAUAACCUGUGGUUAGAGUUACUUGUUAUUGGUAAAUAGCCACUGUGGAGACUAAGGACCAAAAGAAACACAGAAAGAAAUUUUACAGAAGAAAAACAGUGGGCCCAAAGCUGAAAAGAAAAAGAAGCAGCAUCUGCAGGAUCUCCAGCUAGGGGAUGAAGAAGAUGUCUGGAAGAGAAAUCCCAAAGCUUUUGCAAUUCAGUCUGCUGUGGGGAUGGCUUGAUCCUUUCACAGGACUCAGGAUUUGAAGACAAAAAAGCAUCAUAUUCCAGUGGUUGAUCAGACUCCACUAGAGCCGCCACCAAUAGUGAUAGUGGUGACGGGGCCUCCAAAAGUUGGAAAGAGCACUUUGAUAUAAUGCCUCAUUGGGAACUUCACCCAGCAGAAGUUGACCGAGAUCAGAGGCCCUGUGAUGAUCGUGUCAGGUAAAAAGCUCCGACUCACCAUUAUUGAAUGUGGGUGUGACAUUAACAUGAUGAUUGAUCUGGCUGAAGUAGCAGAUCUGGUAAGUCAGCAGGGGCAGCCUGGGGUGCUGAUGGAGACUUACAGCAUUGUGAUAGGUUAUUUACCCCGUGAUGAAGGGAAGAGAGUUUUAUGAUUAUUAAAGGAAUCAUGGUCAUCAUCAGGGAUACAGUAGAUGUGAUUGAAUUGAUGAUGAUAAUAAUAGUAAUAAAUAUUGUUAUAUUAAUAAUACAAAUGGAAUGUGCACAAUGAAAUGUAUUCCAAAAUCUAAAAGCAAAUCACAGGAUAGAGAAAACCUUUAAUGAACACAGCUAAUAAGAGCUCAUUAACAUGCAUACAUAUAUACGUACAAAUAUUUCAUAGUAAGUACCAUUUCUUCUUGGACCCUUCCUGGCACUGUGCUAACUACUUUCUACAAACUUAGCUUACAUAAACUCUUGAUAUACCCUUGAGGUGAGUAGGUAUUAUCUGUAGUUUACAUAAGAUGAAAUAGAGCCUCCCAGCAGUUAAGUAACUUGUGUGAAGAUGGGACCCUUGUUCAUGAUGGUUCUAGAACCUUCAUCAUUAAUGAUAAUGCUGAAGUAAGUACAUGAAUUGCCUGAAGAAGUGGUCAGAGUUUAUCAUAGAAAAUCUAGCUAGUACUCAGUGUGUGGAAAAUGUAUACACUCUUGCAUUUAUGGAAAUGAUAAUGUUCAGUAUUUCUGAUAUUCUAUUAACUAUUUUUUAAAUUAGCAAAAAUAAAAUACAAAUUGGCAAAAAAAAAAAAAA